AAACCAAUGUACCAGAAGGAAUCUGCACUCUAACAACAUCAAUCAUCACCCAAAGGUAUAUUCUGCUAUAGACAAGUUAAUUUCCUAAUAUAUUAUUACUCGCUGUCUGCAUUAAGUUAUCUCCCAGCUUUUGUGGAACAGUUAACUAUUUCAUACAUAAUAUCAUAACACGAACUGAUCACACUACCCUCAACUGCACAACGGCUCUUCAUAUUCAUUUACAAUAUUAUUUAUAGACUUUAAGAAAGGGUUCAUUUAAGUUUACACCUGGUGUAGAUAAAUUGCAGCUCUGACAUCUUAAAGCACAUGUUCACUGGAAUAACGAGAUGUUUGAUUUGCAGCUACCUUCACCAUGGCAUUCUAGCCAUUGCUCACAAUAUCUACAAUCUGACUAAUCUAGCCACACAUGCACCUUUUUUUUGGGUUUUGGUUUGGAAUAACGAGAUGUUUGAUUUGCAGCUACCUUCACCAUGGCAUUCUAGCCAUUGCUCACAAUAUCUACAAUCUGACUAAUCUAGCCAUACAUGCACCUUUUUUUUGGGUUUUGGUUCAUUGCCUGCAAUCUAAUAAUAAUGAAAAAGUCCCAACAAUUUAUGACACUCAACUGCCCCAUUCAAGUAUGGAUAAAACCUGAUAUGCCGUGUGGAAAGACAAGCUAGAUGAGAUCUGAUAUAAGCCCGUUGCAAAGACAAGAUAUAAUAUUGUUUAAGUUUUGAUUCUGAGUAUCUCGACCUCUUACUUUCUAUUUUUUUGAUCACUUUUUAGAUGUUAAUAUUUAUUUACAUUUCAUUUCAGUAUGAUUUUGUUAUGCAAUUAUUGUAGCCAAAAUUUCUCCUUCAGUGUCUCGUCUGUGUUGUAGCACACUGUAUUUGUCAGGGAGGAGUUAUGGAUGGUUGAUUGUUCUCGUGAUAAUCUUUUGUAACUACGGUAUUAUUACAGCUUGUAUAGAGUCUUGAUCAAAUCUAGUCAUCCAAAAUGUAUUUUGGAAGACCUAUUGCUCCUGUAAGCUCUCUUAGCUAAUGCCUUUGCCUGCGACUGUAAUAUUGGAGGGCUUCCAAGGAUUUCCGCAUCAUGAUCCGCCACGCAAAUCCGUGUUGGAAUUUAUCAUGUUCAGCCACUCUGCCUUUUGGAGCAAGUUCUGAUUCUAAUGUUUUUCCUGCGACUGUAAUAUUGGAGGGCGUCCAAGGAUUGCUGCAUCAUGGUCUGCCACCCAAACCUGUGUUGGAAUUUAUCGUGUUCAGCCACUCUGCCUUUUGGAGCAAGUUCUGAUUCUGGAGUUCCACUUGUGCUGCCUUCUCACUAUUUGACAGAGACAAUGGAGUAGCGAUGCAGGAUCGGAGGUUGAUUGAUGAAGUGAGGCGUUGACACAUGAGCCUGACCUAGCUGAGCCUAUGUUGUAUGUUUUCAUGAUUGUGUUUUAGCUCUUGCUGCUCUCCGAUUUUUGAAUAUCAUCGAUACUGAUGGAUAAUGCCUGCUCAAUUGCAGGGAUCUAGGCACCACGCAGGGAUCUAUGCAGCACCCACCUCUCUUGCAUGCCCGUGUUUUCUAGCGAUGACAUAACAAGCUUUUUGAGGAUUGCCUUGAAUUCAUGUCUUGCGGAGUAUGCUUCAACUGUACCUGAAUGCCAUCAUGGUGCUUUUCGAGAGAGGAGCUACAACGAAGAAGUGUUUCAGUAGUAAUGGAAAACAAGUGAUUGAGCUGACAAGUAUUAUUUCCAUCGAGAAGCCUUUUUUUCUGCUAGGAACACCUCAAUCAGCGUUCUUCCUUUACCCUUCAAUAGCUAAGCUUUUUAGCACAUGG
rnacentral:lncRNA from 1 species